rnacentral:rRNA from 1 species
AUUGAACGCUGGCGGCAUGCCUUACACAUGCAAGUCGAACGGCAGCACGGGAGCAAUCCUGGUGGCGAGUGGCGAACGGGUGAGUAAUAUAUCGGAACGUGCCCAGUCGUGGGGAUAACGUAGCGAAAGCUACGCUAAUACCGCAUACGAUCUAUGGAUGAAAGCGGGGGAUCGCAAGACCUCGCGCGAUUGGAGCGGCCGAUAUCAGAUUAGGUAGUUGGUGAGGUAAAGGCUCACCAAGCCGACGAUCUGUAGCUGGUCUGAGAGGACGACCAGCCACACUGGGACUGAGACACGGCCCAGACUCCUACGGGAGGCAGCAGUGGGGAAUUUUUGGACAAUGGCGCAAGCCUGAUCCAGCAAUGCCGCGUGCAGGAUGAA